UCAAGCUACUAAGGGCAUACGGUGGAUGCCUAGGCGCCAAGAGCCGAAGAAGGACGCGGUAAGCUGCGAAAAGCCACGGGGAACUGCAAGCAAGUAUUGAUCCGUGGAUAUCCGAAUGGGGAAACCCGGCCAUCGUCAUGGAUGGUCACCCGCAAGGGAGGGAACCUGGGGAACUGAAACAUCUAAGUACCCGGAGGAAGAGAAAUCAAACGAGAUGCCCACAGUAGCGGCGAGCGAAGAGGGCAGAGCCCAAACCGAGAAGCUCCGGCUUUUCGGGGUUGAGGACCGGCAGAAUCGAAGUCAGGCCUAGUUGAAUUACCUGGAAAGGUAAGCGAGAGAGGGUAAAAGCCCCGUAGACGAAAGGCAGAGCAGAGAGGCCGAGAUCCAGAGUACCACGAAGCACGAGGAAUUUUGUGGGAAGCAGGGGGGACCACCCUCCAAGGCUAAAAACUACUUGGCGACCGAUAGCGCAUAGUACCGUGAGGGAAAGGUGAAAAGAACCCCGGGAGGGGAGUGAAAUAGUACCUGAAACCGUAUGUCUACAAGCAGUCGAAGCGAAAGCGACGGCGUGCCUAUUGAAGAAUGAACCAACGAGUUAUCUGCACUAGCGAGGUUAAGUGGAAGACACGGAGCCGCAGCGAAAGCGAGUCUUAAGAGGGCGCUAGUUAGUGUAGGUAGACCCGAAACCGCAGUGAUCUACCCAUGUCCAGGUUGAAGCGCAGGUAAAAUUGCGUGGAGGACCGAACCGGUGAGCGUUGAAAAGCUUUCGGAUGAGAUGUGGGUAGGGGUGAAAUUCCAAUCGAACGCGGAGAUAGCUGGUUCUCCCCGAAAUAGCUUUAGGGCUAGCCUGAGGUAGUAAGUAUAGGCGGUAGAGCACUGAUCGGGCUAGGGGCCGUAAAGGUUACCGAACCCUGUCAAACUCCGAAUGGAUAUACUGUAGAGCCUUGGAGUCAGACUACGAGUGAUAAGAUCCGUGGUCAAAAGGGAAACAGCCCAGACCACCAGCUAAGGUCCCCAAUGUCGUACUAAGUGGAAAAGGAUGUGGGGUUUCAUAAACAACCAGGAUGUUGGCUCAGAAGCAGCCACCAUUUAAAGAGUGCGUAAUAGCUCACUGGUCGAGAGACCCUGCGCCGAAGAUUCCCGGGGCUAAAGUACGAAACCGAAGCUGUGGCUGUAUACGUAAAGUAUACGGGGUAGGGGAGCGUUCCCAUAGGGUAGAAGUCGAACUGGAAGGUUCGGUGGACUUGUGGGAAGUGAGAAUGUUGGUAUGAGUAGCGAAAAGAAAGGUGAGAAUCCUUUCCACCGAAAGCAUAAGGAUUCCUGAGCAACGAUCGUCGUCUCAGGGUAAGUCGGGACCUAAUCCGAGGCAGAGAGCGUAGGAGAUGGACAACUGGUUGAUAUUCCAGUACCGGUAGUAAUUGUUUGAGCAAUGGAGUGACACAGAAGGGCAGGCAAGCAUGCGAAUGGAAGAGCAUGUGUAAGCGUGUAGGGUGGUGCAUAGGCAAAUCCGUGCACUGAAAGCCUGAGGCGUGAUGCGGAGUGAGCAGAGAUGCGAGCGAAGUUGUUGACCCCACACUGUCGAGAAAAGCUUCUAGUGAGAGAGCUACCGCCCGUACCGUAAACCGACACAGGUAUGCGGGGAGAGAAUCCUAAGGUGCGCGGGAGAACCCUCGUUAAGGAACUCGGCAAAAUGUACCCGUAACUUCGGGAUAAGGGUAGCCACUGUUGUGAAGUCCCAUGCGGAUGGAGCAUAGAGUGGUCGCAGAGAAGAGGCCCAAGCGACUGUUUACCAUAAACACAGGUGCCUGCUAAAGCGAAAGCUGACGUAUAGGUGCUGACACCUGCCCAGUGCCGGAAGGUUAAGGAAGGAUGUUCGGAGUAAUCCAAAGCAUUCGACUGAAGCCCCGGUGAACGGCGGCCGUAACUAUAACGGUCCUAAGGUAGCGAAAUUCCUUGUCGGGUAAGUUCCGACCCGCACGAAAGGUGUAACGAUUUGGGCACUGUCUCAACGAGGGACCCGGUGAAAUUGAAAUACCUGUGAAGAUGCAGGUUACCCGCGACUGGACAGAAAGACCCCAUGGAGCUUUACUGUAACCUGACAUUGGGUUUUGAUACAUUACGUACAGGAUAGGUGGGAGGCUUGGAAAGCUGGACGCUAGUCUGGCUGGAGCCGACGUUGGGAUACCACCCUUGAUGUAUUGAAAUUCUAACCGCGAGAGUAACGAAAUCCGGGACAGUGUCAGGCGGGCAGUUUG
rnacentral:rRNA from 1 species